rnacentral:rRNA from 1 species
UGGGGAAUAUUGCACAAUGGAGGGAACUCUGAUGCAGCGACGCCGCGUGAGUGAAGAAGUAUUUCGGUAUGUAAAGCUCUAUCAGCAGGGAAGAAGAUGACGGUACCUGAAUAAGAAGCCCCGGCUAACUACGUGCCAGCAGCCGCGGUAAUACGUAGGGGGCAAGCGUUAUCCGGAUUUACUGGGUGUAAAGGGAGCGCAGACGGCUGUGCAAGUCUGAAGUGAAAGCCCGCGGCUCAACUGCGGGAUUGCUUUGGAAACUGUGCGGCUUGAGUAUCGGAGAGGUAAGCGGAAUUCCAAGUGUAGCGGUGAAAUGCGUAGAUAUUUGGAGGAACACCGGUGGCGAAGGCGGCUUACUGGACGGAAACUGACGUUGAGGCUCGAAGGCGUGGGGAGCAAACAGG